AGAGCUUGAUCAUGGCUCAGAUUGAACGCUGGCGGCAGGCCUAACACAUGCAAGUCGAACGGUAACAGGAAACAGCUUGCUGUUUCGCUGACGAGUGGCGGACGGGUGAGUAAUGUCUGGGAAACUGCCUGAUGGAGGGGGAUAACUACUGGAAACGGUAGCUAAUACCGCAUAACGUCGCAAGACCAAAGAGGGGGACCUUCGGGCCUCUUGCCAUCAGAUGUGCCCAGAUGGGAUUAGCUAGUAGGUGGGGUAACGGCUCACCUAGGCGACGAUCCCUAGCUGGUCUGAGAGGAUGACCAGCCACACUGGAACUGAGACACGGUCCAGACUCCUACGGGAGGCAGCAGUGGGGAAUAUUGCACAAUGGGCGCAAGCCUGAUGCAGCCAUGCCGCGUGUAUGAAGAAGGCCUUCGGGUUGUAAAGUACUUUCAGCGGGGAGGAGGGAGUAAAGUUAAUACCUUUGCUCAUUGACGUUACCCGCAGAAGAAGCACCGGCUAACUCCGUGCCAGCAGCCGCGGUAAUACGGAGGGUGCAAGCGUUAAUCGGAAUUACUGGGCGUAAAGCGCACGCAGGCGGUUUGUUAAGUCAGAUGUGAAAUCCCCGGGCUCAACCUGGGAACUGCAUCUGAUACUGGCAAGCUUGAGUCUCGUAGAGGGGGGUAGAAUUCCAGGUGUAGCGGUGAAAUGCGUAGAGAUCUGGAGGAAUACCGGUGGCGAAGGCGGCCCCCUGGACGAAGACUGACGCUCAGGUGCGAAAGCGUGGGGAGCAAACAGGAUUAGAUACCCUGGUAGUCCACGCCGUAAACGAUGUCGACUUGGAGGUUGUGCCCUUGAGGCGUGGCUUCCGGAGCUAACGCGUUAAGUCGACCGCCUGGGGAGUACGGCCGCAAGGUUAAAACUCAAAUGAAUUGACGGGGGCCCGCACAAGCGGUGGAGCAUGUGGUUUAAUUCGAUGCAACGCGAAGAACCUUACCUGGUCUUGACAUCCACGGAAGUUUUUCAGAGAUGAGAAUGUGCCUUCGGGAACCGUGAGACAGGUGCUGCAUGGCUGUCGUCAGCUCGUGUUGUGAAAUGUUGGGUUAAGUCCCGCAACGAGCGCAACCCUUAUCCUUUGUUGCCAGCGGUCCGGCCGGGAACUCAAAGGAGACUGCCAGUGAUAAACUGGAGGAAGGUGGGGAUGACGUCAAGUCAUCAUGGCCCUUACGACCAGGGCUACACACGUGCUACAAUGGCGCAUACAAAGAGAAGCGACCUCGCGAGAGCAAGCGGACCUCAUAAGUGCGUCGUAGUCCGGAUUGGAGUCUGCAACUCGACUCCAUGAAGUCGGAAUCGCUAGUAAUCGUGGAUCAGAAUGCCACGGUGAAUACGUUCCCGGGCCUUGUACACACCGCCCGUCACACCAUGGGAGUGGGUUGCAAAAGAAGUAGGUAGCUUAACCUUCGGGAGGGCGCUUACCACUUUGUGAUUCAUGACUGGGGUGAAGUCGUAACAAGGUAACCGUAGGGGAACCUGCGGUUG
rnacentral:rRNA from 1 species